GACGAACGCUGGCGGCGUGCUUAACACAUGCAAGUCGAACGGAAAGGCCCCCUUGUGGGGUACUCGAGUGGCGAACGGGUGAGUAACACGUGAGUAACCUACCCUUGACUUUGGGAUAACUUCAGGAAACUGGGGCUAAUACCGGAUAGGAGCUCCUGCUGCAUGGUGGGGGUUGGAAAGUUUCGGCGGUUGGGGAUGGACUCGCGGCUUAUCAGCUUGUUGGUGGGGUAGUGGCUCACCAAGGCUUUGACGGGUAGCCGGCCUGAGAGGGUGACCGGCCACAUUGGGACUGAGAUACGGCCCAGACUCCUACGGGAGGCAGCAGUGGGGAAUUUUGCACAAUGGGCGGAAGCCUGAUGCAGCAACGCCGCGUGCGGGAUGACGGCCUUCGGGUUGUAAACCGCUUUCGCUGGUGACGAAGCGUGAGUGACGGUAAUGGGUAAAGAAGCACCGGCUAACUACGUG
rnacentral:rRNA from 1 species